UGUUUGAAAAUAUAUCAAGAGGAGAAAGAAAAUCUUAAAAAUCUUAUUCAUAAUCAACGUGUAUGUGUUACUAGUGAUACAUGGACAUCACUUCAAAAGCUAACUUAUAUGGUUAUCACUGCCCAUUGGAUCGAUGAUGAGUGGAAUCUGAAAAAGAAAAUUCUCAACUUUUUCCAAACAUCAGAUCAUAAGGGUGAGACAAUUGCUAAGGGGAUUGAGGCGUGUUUGAAAAAUUCAGAAACUUGAGAUAGUUGAAAAAGAAUAUGCUGACACAACCUUGAGCAUUGAUUAGUUUGGAUGUUGCAAUUGAAAUUCGUAGUGCAACUAUUUUUCUCUUUGGCAGUUAAUUUUCAGGGUUUUGCUUUCACCAGAAGUACUUUUGGAUUCUGCUAUUGACUUCUUUUUUGUAUUUAAUUACACUUUUAUGCAAGCAACUAAAUGACCUUUCUCUGGUGACAGUUGGGUAUAUGAUUCUUUUGUGUUGAUCAUU